UUCUGAGACCAUGGGGUAUAU
rnacentral:miRNA from 1 species